rnacentral:rRNA from 1 species
AUGCAUGAUAUUGCACCUGUUGAGAUAGAAGAAAUUGAUGUUACAAUUAAGCUUGCCAAUAGAGAUACUAUUUCACCAAUUGGGAUUGUUAGAGAUGUCGAAGUCUUGUGUGGGAAAGUUAAAUAUCCUGCUGAUUUUCUUGUUCUUGGUUCCCCACAAGAUAGCUUUUGUCCCAUCAUAUUUGGUAGACCCUUCUUGAAUACUGUUAAUGCUAGGAUAGACUGCAAAAAGGAUGUUGUUACUAUUGGUUUGGGGGAUAUGUCUCAUGAGUUUAAUUUUUCUAAAUUUCAUAGACAACCCCGUGAUAAAGAAUUUCCUAGUAAGGAUGAAAUUAUUGGUCUUCCUUCUAUUGCCGUGCCUCCUAAUGAUCCUUUAGAGCAAUAUUUGCUAGACCAUGAAAUGAUAUGUUUAUGA